rnacentral:rRNA from 1 species
GACGAACGCUGGCGGCGUGCCUAACACAUGCAAGUCGAACGGAGUAAACCGCUGAAUUGAAGGUAGCUUGCUACUGAAUUUUCUUGGUUUACUUAGUGGCGGACGGGUGAGUAACGCGUGAGUAACCUGCCUUACAGAGGGGGACAACAGUUGGAAACGACUGCUAAUACCGCAUGAUGUUUCGAGAGGGCAUCCUCUUGAAACCAAAGGAGCAAUCCGCUGUAAGAUGGACUCGCGUCCAAUUAGAUAGUUGGUGGGGUAACGGCCCACCAAGUCGACGAUUGGUAGCCGGACUGAGAGGUUGAACGGCCACAUUGGGACUGAGACACGGCCCAGACUCCUACGGGAGGCAGCAGUGGGGAAUAUUGGGCAAUGGGGAAACCCUGACCCAGCAACGCCGCGUGAAGGAGAGCUGGUGAAUCUUUUAGCAGGACGAAGAACGUGACGGUACCUGCAGAAAAA